rnacentral:lncRNA from 1 species
UUCCAUACUAUUUGGCUUCUCUUUGAAUUGGCCAUGGGAAGAUAAAACGUGGCACAGCUUCUCUGAUGGUAGUCUCUCAUCAUGGUUGAUAAAUGAUAACUGACCGUCCUGGUUACUUGGUGGUUCAGUACAAAAUGCCAAGGUUCUCGAUGAAUCUGUAAAAAUAGCUGGCCUGAUCGUCUGGUUAAACCCACCUUUGCCACUGGCGAGCUGGAAUCCGGGGGUAUUAUCUGAAAAACGCUUUGUGAGAGCAUAUCUAUCUGAAUUUCUGAUGAAGAUGCAAUCCUUUUAUUUUUUUCUAUUCCUCGCUGCAUCAUUAAGUCUUGCUGAAAGUGUCUUGAGGAUUCAUAACUGAUAGCAUUGCCAUCAUGAUGAACCAUAAUCUGAUUGUCCAUCCAAACUUUUUGCCCCUCGUGUGAAUUUCUGUAAUUUUUACCAAUAGAGAAUUCUUGGCCCAUCAAUCGCAUUGUUGGUUGAGUGCCAUUUCCUAAGAUAAGAUUAGGGUGCCUUUCCGGAUACAUGUUUCUAUCAUUAGAGUAAUUCUGUGACUGAUCAGUUCUGUUGCUCUGACUAGGAAGGCUCAUCAAGUUGAUACCUGAUUUAUAAGGAUAGAUGGGAUCGCAACUUCGAAAUUCUAAGGACGCAUCUGUCCCACUCGUAGUGCCCAAACUAGAUGAUUCCAUACUAUUUGGCUUCUCUUUGAAUUGGCCAUGGGAAGAUAAAACGUGGCACAGCUUCUCUGAUGGUAGUCUCUCAUCAUGGUUGAUAAAUGAUAACUGACCGUCCUGGUUACUUGGUGGUUCAGUACAAAAUGCCAAGGUUCUCGAUGAAUCUGUAAAAAUAGCUGGCCUGAUCGUCUGGUUAAACCCACCUUUGCCACUGGCGAGCUGGAUAUAUUCUCCAUGUGAAUUUAGAGGCAAUCCCGUAUAAUCUCCAUUUCUGGGCCUUCCCAAAUGCACCUCAC